rnacentral:rRNA from 1 species
AGCAGCCGCGGUAAUUCCAGCUCCAAUAGCGUAUAUUAAAGUUGUUGCAGUUAAAAAGCUCGUAGUUGAAUUUCGGGGUUCUACCGUUGGUCGGGCUUUGUCUGUACUGGCGUGUAGAAUUUCUACCUUCUGGGGAACCAUCAUGUUAUUAAUUUAACGUGGUGGGAAACCAGGACCUUUACCUUGAAAAAAUUAGAGUGCUCAAAGCAGGCUUAUGUCUGAAUACAUUAGCAUGGAAUAAUAAAAUAGGACGGUGGUCCUGUUUUGUUGGUUUCUGAAUCACCGUAAUGAUUAAUAGGGAUAGUUGGGGGCAUUAGUAUUCAAUUGUCAGAGGUGAAAUUCUUGGAUUGAU